UACGUAGGGUGCGAGCGUUUAAUCGGAAUUACUGGGCGUAAAGCGUGCGCAGGCGGUUCGUUGUGUCUGUGGUGAAAGCCCCGGGCUUAACCUGGGAAUGGCCAUGGAAACUGGCGAGCUGGAGUGUGGCAGAGGGGGGUGGAAUUCCGCGUGUAGCAGUGAAAUGCGUAGAGAUGCGGAGGAACACCGAUGGCGAAGGCAGCCUCCUGGGCCAGCACUGACGCUCAUGCACGGAAGCGUGGGGAGCAAACAGG
rnacentral:rRNA from 1 species